CCCGGGAAAGCACGGGCGGGAAAGCCGAGCCGCCGCCGUGGGUGCGGAGAGAGCGGAGCUCAGUGCCAAAGCCUGGGUGUGCAAAGAAAGACGCUGGCUUCAGCCGAACUCCCAGAAGGCAGAUGCUAGAAUCUGCAGCCCGAGCGGAAAACACAAGCGUGGUCGGGGAGGUUUGCUCCGUGCACCUGUGGUCUAGAGUGCGCUCACAGAAGGUCCUCAUCCAUCGCUGAGAGAAGUCAGGCAGGAACCUGGAGGCAGGAACUGAAGCUGAGUCCGCAGAGGGACACGACUUACUGGCUUGCUUUUCCUCUGGCUCACUCAGUUCAUGUGUCGCAGAAUCCCGGAUCAGCUGGCUGCUGGCUGGGUAUGGCCAAGAAAGGAGACAAAAGGGAAGGUGGAGAAUGGCAGGAAGGGACGGGCCAGACAAUGUCAUCACCCACCUCUUGGCUGAUGGCAUCACUGGUGGGCGGCGCCUCGCUGAAUCUUCUCCGGUGACCUCAGGCCCUGAGCACAAACACUGACACUUCCUGUGAACAGUUCGGCCCGGAGACGUGGUUAGCUUUCUACUGGGAUUAAUCCCUGAGUGACUUCGUCAUGGUGCAUAGAAAAGUGGAGAGUGGAAAGUCCGCUGGAGGGGACAUUCAAGCAUGGCCAAGCCGUGGAGGGUCAGAGGCCGACCGAAGAGAGACAUUGUCGCAUGAGGAAUUGCUGUAAAUUCUAGGCCUGGGUCCCUAGAGCACUGAAGGUGAUUUCGGUCUCUACACGACCAACCCCUUUAUGUCCCGACCAACCCCUUUAUGUCCCGUAAGCCCCUGCCCAGAGUCCCUUCCCCAGUGUCUCCUGUUUCUCCGGAUCCUGCUCUGUUUCCCCUCUCUCUUUGCCCUGAUCACUUUCUAACACCUUUGAUCUACAAUCUUUAUAAUCCACUGUCUCUUCUACGCACAGCAGUAGAAGUUCCACGGUGCCAGGAAUCUUUGCUUUUUUUUUUUUUUUUCCACUGAGACUUGUCAAGAACAUAAAAGUGUCUGAGCUGGCUCUGGUGGCUAAUGCCUUUAAUCCUAGCACAUGGAAGGUCAAGGCAGCAGAAUUGAUGAGAAUUUGAGGCCAGCCUGGGCUACAGAGACCCUGUCUUGAAACAAAAACAAACAAAAUAAAAAAGUGUCUGAUCUAUA